CCUACGGGAGGCAGCAGUAGGGAAUCUUUCACAAUGGGCGAAAGCCUGAUGGAGCAACGCCGCGUGCAGGAUGAAGGCCUUCGGGUUGUAAACUGCUUUUAUAAGCGAGAAAUAUGAUGGUAACUUAUGAAUAAGGAUAGGCUAACUACGGGCCAGCAGCCGCGGUCAUACGUAGGAUCCGAGCAUUAUCCGGAGUGACUGGGUGUAAAGAGUUGCGUAGGUGGCAUAAUAAGUAGCUAGUGAAAUCGGGUGGCUCAACCAUUCAGACUAUUAGCUAAACUGUUAAGCUCGAGACCGUUAGGGGUAACUGGAAUGUCUAGUGUAGGAGUGAAAUCCGUAGAUAUUAGAAGGAACACCAAUAGCGUAGGCAGGUUACUGGGACGGUUCUGACACUAAGGCACGAAAGCGUAGGGAGCAAACGGGAUUAGAUACCCCUGUAGUC
rnacentral:rRNA from 1 species